rnacentral:pre_miRNA from 2 species
AACCCGUAGAUCCGAUCUUGUGUUGAAACGCACUGCACAAGCUCGCUUCUAUGGGUCUG